CAAUUUACAAACCAAAAUAAGUGUUUGGGUUGGCUUUAUUUACAAGGAAUUAUUAGCAUUUAGUAUAAAUGUAAUAAUUGCCCUAAGGGGAUAAGAGUGUUAAGUUGAACUCAGCAGUUUUUGAAGGACUUGGUGAAGCAAAUCAUAAAGCGGUGAUGGUAAUGAAUCAAAACUCUAAGCAAAGAUUAUUGCCCACUCCUAAAACCAAUAAUAAACCUUCACACUCGGGAAGAGAUAGCGGCUCAUCUGGUUGGAAGAAGUUCCUGUCAUGUUCCCUUUAAUAAUUAUUACCACAGCCAUGUAGAUAUGUAUACAUAUAUACAGUAAGGUCCAUCUAUUGUCAUCUUUCUCUCUU